rnacentral:rRNA from 1 species
ACAGUGGGAAGCGACACCGCGAGGUGGAAGCCCAAUACCCCAAAACCGGCCCCAGUUCAGAUUGCAGUCUGCAACUCGACUGCAUGAAGUCGGAAUCGCUAGUAAAGGCGUAUCAGCAACGACGCCUUCGAAUACGUUCCCGGGCCUU